rnacentral:lncRNA from 1 species
AAUUACACGGGCAAAUGCACCUUCUGACCACUCAAAACUAUCCAGUACAAGAAAUCUUCAAAACAUAAAUGUCUGGAAGCUAUGUCAGAACUAUCACCCAUGAGAAAACAACUGAAGCCAUUUUUUUGGUGUGGCUGCUGUCAUUGUGUGAUAUGGAGCAAUAUGUGUCUAUUUGUACAGUGCUGCAAAACCUUUAACCCUUUGGAAGCAUUUCCACCACAAGAGGAGAUUCAUCUGCCUUUCUACUCUCAAGCCAGUGAGCCACAAAAUGUUGAUUCCUGAGAAGUUCAUCUCUGAAAGUGUGGUAACUCAAGAGACUUCAGUAGGUCCAUUAAGGAUUUCACCAUUUUUGAGUCUUUGUGGGAAUUUAUUCCCUGACAUUUAGAUGUGACACAUGAGAUUUUGAAAAAAGGAAACAAGGCAAGAUUUGUAGGAAGAGGCAGUAUGUCUUAUUAAAUUAGAUUAGUCUUUAGGUCAGAAAACCCUCACUCUUGUCUGUCUUGUAAAUUUUUAAUUAUUAUUUUAAUUUCAAUUAUCAAUUAUCCUGCUUUUUAUCAAUUUGAAAAAAAGAGAAAGAAUACUUACAAAUCACAUCUCAUUACUUUAAGAGGAAACAGUACAAAAUUAUUACAUAGUUAGAACCGUGCUUCUCAUCUGCAUUUAGUCUUAAAUCUAGAAUUGGUAAAAUUUCUUUCUUUUUAGCUCUGAAGAAUGAAAUAGUUUUCAUGUCAGGGAGAAGCAUUUUACACUUCUAUGUGCAUGCUCUGGCUAAUGCAUCUCCACGUGAAAUACUGUGGGGGAAAAAAAAAAAAAAGAAAAAAAAGUGGUUGUUUGGAAGUACAGAAUGAGAAGAAGGGUCUGAGGUCAGUCCCAAGAAAAGCCAUCUCUGUCAGUGUGGACACUCAUACACUAGGAAAUGAGUAGGAGUAAUGUUUCACUUCUUAGCAGCUCAGUGAUAGCAUUUUUCUUUUGAAGCAACCUGGACAGCUCUGGUCCUUUGAUCAGAUCUUUCCUGCCCAGAAUUUGGAUACGUUUUCUGUCAAAAUACAGUUGCAGGUAGCCCUAGGAGAUGUCAACUUCCCAUGUAAAUUAUGCAUAACAUUUGAUUUCCUCCUUGGACUUUAUUAUAAGACUAACAAAACCUUCACAAUCCCCAUACAAAUAUUAGUUUCGGUGUCUUGGGCCAGAUUCUUUUACAUAAUAUUUAGGCACAGUUCUGCCUUUUAAAAAGCUUCCAUGUAGAGAAAUUAAGACUGCUCACAGAGCUUUCAAUCAGAGAAAGUCCAGUUAGAGGGAGUCUUAGGGACCUGACUAAUAAUUAAUGAACCAGACAAUUAAGGGAUUGCAAUUGUAAUAGAGUGGGGUGGAAAAAAUAAAAAAAAUAAAAAAGCAAGCCA